CGCGCGUAACGCGUAUAGUGUACCUAACCCAUAACCGCAAACGUAUACCGACACACAUUUCCCACUCCCAUCUCCGGACAGUGAAUAAUUUUCCAUUGAUGUACACAACUCUGAAUAUUGAAAUACAUAAUAAUAUCCAUCUUAUACAAUAAUUACAAAUGAUUUUUUUUUUUUUUUUUUGCGAAACUAUAAUAAUGCGCAAUUAUUCCUUUUUCAUUAGUUUUCUUCUUGUCCCAACUACCACGUUUGGGAUCGGGCACCGUCGUCCCUAAGCUUCCGCUCGACGACCAAAUCUCCCGUCUCACGUACACUGCAGUCAUCUGUCUUUGGCUGUUCUCAGUGGCGUACAUACGGGAGGAGGAGGUUUCGGAUUCAAU